UCUGAUACCAUGUUAACAUCAAGAUUGAACGAGAGAAUCAUACAAAUUAUAGAGAGAGAAAGUAGAAAGAAGGAGGAGAGUAGGUGAGAAGUCUCUCGAAUGUCAGAGAGAGAAUUGCAUUAACCGAGAAGCAAAAGAAAGAAAAUGAAGUCCGGGGGGUCACUAAUGUCGGUGACCCCUAUAUUUAUAUUUACACAUUCGGGUCGGGUCAGUGACCCACCAGAAUAAAGAAUGGACGGGUAUGGACGGGUCACAUAUCUGGGCUCAGAUAUGACUCUCAGUAUUGGGCUCGGGAAAGGCCCAAUUUCAGACUUUAUCAUCAUUGCC
rnacentral:lncRNA from 1 species